UAGAUGGGUCUCCGGAGACCGGGGUAUAU
rnacentral:sRNA from 1 species